AAGCCAUUAUGCGGACAAUGUUUUACUAGCCUUUUAAAUCUCGCCCAGGCGUCAUUGAGCGAUUCGUCAAUAUCCUGUUCAAAAUUGGUGAUCAACUUCCUCCUUCU